GUCAGUGUGGUGUAGUGGUCUGAGCAUUGGACUACGAUUCUGGAGAUGAGGGUUCGAGUCCCCACUUGGCCA